AACGUAGGACACAAGCGUUAUCCGGAGUUACUGGGCGUAAAGGGCGUGUAGGCGGAUUGGUAAGUCUACUCUGAAAGCUCCUGGCUAAACUGGGAGAGGCGAGUGGAGACUGUCGGUCUAGAGUGAGGAAGAGGAAAGUGGAAUUCCGCGUGUAGUGGUGAAAUGCGUAGAGAUGCGGAGGAACACCAGUGGCGAAAGCGGCUUUCUGGUCCUUAACUGACGCUGAGGCGCGAAAGCAUGGGGAGCGAACGGG
rnacentral:rRNA from 1 species